rnacentral:rRNA from 1 species
UUCCGGUUGAUCCUGCCGGACCUGACUGCUAUCGGAUUGAUACUAAGCCAUGCGAGUCUUUGUAGUAAUACAAGGCAUACGGCUCAGUAACACGUAGUCAACCUACCCUAUGGACGAGAAUAAUCUCGGGAAACUGAGCAUAAUUCUUGAUAGAUCAUAAUGCCUGGAAUGGUUUAUGGUUAAAAUGAUUCGUCGCCAUAGGAUGGGACUGCGGCCUAUCAGCUUGUUGGUGAGGUAAUGGCCCACCAAGGCGAUUACAGGUACGGGCUCUGAGAGGAGAAGCCCGGAGAUGGGUACUGAGACACGGACCCAGGCCCUAUGGGGCGCAGCAGGCGAGAAAACUUUGCAAUGUGCGAAAGCACGACAAGGUUAAUCCGAGUGAUUUCUGCUAAAGAAAUCUUUUGCCAGUCGUAAAAACGCUGGUGAAUAAGGGGUGGGCAAGUUCUGGUGUCAGCCGCCGCGGUAAAACCAGCACCUCAAGUGGUCAGGAUGAUUAUUGGGCCUAAAGCAUCCGUAGCCGGCUUUGUAAGUUUUCGGUUAAAUCCAUGUGCUCAACGCAUGGGCUGCCGAAAAUACUGCAUAGCUAGGGAGUGGGAGAGGUAGACGGUACUCAGUAGGUAGGGGUAAAAUCCUUUGAUCUAUUGAUGACCACCUGUGGCGAAGGCGGUCUACCAGAACACGUUCGACGGUGAGGGAUGAAAGCUGGGGGAGCAAACCGGAUUAGAUACCCGGGUAGUCCCAGCUGUAAACGAUGCAGACUCGAUGAUGCAUUGGCAUAAUAGCCAUUGCAGUGUCGCAGGGAAGCCGUUAAGUCUGCCGCCUGGGAAGUACGUACGCAAGUAUGAAACUUAAAGGAAUUGGCGGGGGAGCACCACAAGGGGUGAAGCCUGCGGUUCAAUUGGAUUCAACGCCGG